GCUGGACAAUAUCUAAAAUAUAGCAUCACAUAUAAAAAAGACAUCAUACAGUUGUGCUUAAAAGUUUGCAUACCCCUGGAGAAUUGGUAAUAUAUGUACAAUUUUUUCGUGAGUGAGCAGGCAAAAAACAUUUCUUCUAUUUAUUAUGGAAUUAGAUUCAACUGUAGGUUUUAACAGAAUGGCACAAUCAUAAAACAAAACAUGGCAACAAGGAAUAAAAAUGAAAUGACCCAUGUUCAAAAGUUUGCAUACCCUUAAUUCUUAAUACUGUGUAUUGCCUCCUUUAGCAUCAAUGACAACGCAAACUCUUUUGUAAUAGUUGUCUAUGAGGCCCCUAAUUCUUGCAGGUGGUAUAGCUGUCCAUUUGUCUUUGCAAAAUGCCUCCUCGUCAUGCAGUUUGG